AAAAGCAGAAAAACUCUCUGGGGUCAGCCCUCUCUCUAGAAAUCAGUUCUCUCCUCGGCAAAAAUUUCACCCAAAUCAAAAUCCCUCAAAUCAAAAUGUGAAUCUCAUUUGUCAGGUAUGUUCAAAUCCCUAAUCUUUUCGUUUUUUUUUUUUUUUUGAGAAAGAAGCUGCUCUGCUUUAAUUGAUCGAUUUUGUGGAGGAAGAAUCAAAGAAACGAUUUAUGUUCCUAAUCGAUUUCGUAUUUCCUUUCCUUCUUAUUUGUUACUAUCUCAUAUCUAACUAAAACCCUAUAAAGAUUUAUAUAAGAUAUAUUUACAUUUGGGUAUUUUUUACAAUGAUUCUGUAAGACAAAAUUUCCAACAUGCAGUUAAGGAUAAAUAUAUUUUAAGCAAUUUCACAUUUGUAUUCUGAGAUUUCAUCUCGAAUUUCUCUGAACCAUUUGAUAAUUUACAGGAAUACAACAAAAAUAAUCACACAGAAAGAAUCAUUUAAAGCGUACUUGGUAUUAUUAUUAUUGAUUCCCGGUCUUGAUAGAAUCUUAUCUCUUUUCCAAGGUAAGUUAAAACCUUCUUCUUGAGAGACCUUUUACAUGUCGGCAUUUCAUUCUUAUUUUUUUUCUUAUAUGGUUAUGUGCCUAAUCAGUAGACAUGUAGUUUUUAAUUUUAUAAGGCAUACAUAUAUUAUUGUAUGGUUAUAAGAAAACAUAGUACUUCUUUGCGAAUGAUGUGGUGAAGUUAGAGUCUCUAGUGGUUCUCAAGAGGUCUUUCGAUAUUGUUAACAGUGCUUGAGAGGUAGUCUAAGUAUGUGAUUAACCUUGCACUAUGCAUCUGUUUCCUUGCUUGUGUGUCUUACUAAUCUUCAACAAUAUAUAUUGUUUUAUUGUGUUAUUCUUGUAUGCAAUCCAAAUAUUCUGGGCAGAGGACAAACCAUA
rnacentral:lncRNA from 1 species